UGGAGUCUCACUUGGGCCGGGUCCCUUGGGAACCAGAGUCACUAUUGGGCAGGGAGUGGGGUCACGCUAGGGCCUUGGGGCUGAGGGUGGAGUCUUGUCGAGGCGGGGGGCGGAGCCACUGCAGGAGCUGGGAGCUGGGGCACUGGGCCACGUCGCCGCGGCUGGAGGUGGAGUAGGUUCCGCCCCCUAGGUUUCUCUCUUUUGGGCAAAGCCGGGGGUCUCACGAAAAUGCUCGACGGCUGCGGAAGGUGGCAAGCUGGCCCGGAGCCUGCGCAAUCGACGGAUGAGUAAGCACACGUGCGAGAUGACGAUGAGAGGCGGGGCCAGUGCGGGCCGAGAGUGAAAUUCCCGGAUGAGGCUGUAGCGCUGCGCCUUCCAGUAGAGGUCGCUGUUGGCCUGUACUUUGCCGAAGGUAUAGCUGUGGGGACCAGAGAUCAAGGGUCACUGGAGGUCAACGCCCCAUCAGGAAGAGAGGAUGAAGAUUAGCUGUCACGCAAUAUCUGUUUCAAGCCCAAGGCAGCAGGCAGAUGUCAAGAUCAAUAAAGUUGGAGGUUAUUACAGGACGCAAUUAAUAGCUGGGUUAGGAGUGUCCAGGGUCAGAUGUCAUAGGUCAAGUUGGGAAAGCUAUCAUGAAUUAAGUAGAGAUUGGAGUCAGGUUCAAAAGUCAGCCUGGGGCUUCCCUGGUGGCGCAGUGGUUGAGAAUCCGCCUGCCGAUGCAGGGGACACGGGUUCGUGCCCCGGCCCGGGAAGAUCCCACAUGCUGCGGAGCGGCUGGGCCCGUGAGCCAUGGCCGCUGAGCCUGCACGUCCGGAGCCUGUGCUCCGCAACAGGAGAGGCCACAACAGUGAGAGGCCCGCAUACCGCAAAAAAAAAAAAAAAAAAGCCUGGACACAAAUAAUAAUAGGAAAUGAAAAUGGGGACAUUACUAUCAACCAUAUAGAAAUAAAAAGGAUUAUAAGAGAAUGCUAUUAAUAAUUGUACACCAACAAAUUAGAUAACCUAGAUGAAAUGGACAAAUUACUAGAAACACACAAAUUACCUAAACUGAUUCAAGAAGAAACAGGACAAUCUCAAAAGACCUAUAACAAGUAAAGAGAUUGAAUCACUAAUUUAAAAUGUCCCAACAAAAAAGCCCAGGACCAGAUGGUUUGACUGGUGAAUUCUACCAAACAUUUAAAAAAGAUUUAACACCAAUCCUUCUCAAAUUCUUCCAAAAAAUUGAAGAGGAGAGAACACUUCCCAAUUCAUUCUAUGAGGCCAGCAUUACCAUGAUGAUAUCAAAGUCAGAUAAAGAUAUCACGAGAAAACUACAGACCAAUAUCCUUUAUGAAUAUACAUGCAAAAAUCCUCAACAAAAUACUAGAAACCUAAUUCAACAGCAUAUUGAAAAGAUUAUAAGUGGGAUAUAUGCAAGGAAUGCAAGAGUGGUUCAACAUACAAAAAUCAAUGUAAUAUACCACCUUAAUAGAACAAAGGAAAAACCACGUGAUCAUCUCAAUUGACAUGGAGACACAGAAAAGGCAUUUGACAAAAUCCAACACCCUUUCAUGGUUCAAACAAAAACAAAACGAAAACUCAGAAAAGUAGAAAUAGAAGGAAACUUCUUCAACAUGAUAAAAGGUACUUAUGAAAAACCCACAGCUAACAUCAUACUCAAUGAAAAAAGACUGAAAACUUUCCCCAAAGAUCAAGAACAAGACAAGGAUGCCCACUUUUGGGACUUCCCUGGUUGCCCAGUGGUAAAGAAUCUGCCUUCCAAUGCAGGGGACGUGGGUUCGAUCCCUGGUUGGGGAACUAAGAUCCCACAUGCCGCAGAGCAACUAAGCCCGCACACCACAACUACUGAGCUCCUGCACCUCAUCGAGAGAUCCCUAGUGCCGCAAACUACAGAGCCCACAUGCUCUGGAACCUGCGCACCACAACUAGAGAGAGAAAAACCCGCGCGCCACAACAAAGAGCCCGCAUACCGCAACUAAGACCCGACGCAGCCCAAAAAAUAAAGAAAAUAAAUAUUUUUUUAAAAUGCCCAAUUUCACCACUUCUGUUCAUUAUACUGGAAGGUCUAGCCACAGCAAGCAAGAUAAAGAACUAAAAGGCAUCCAAAUUGGAAAGGAAGAAGUAAAACUGUCUCCAUUGACAGAUGAUAUAGCCUACAUAUAGAAACAGAAAAUCCCAGGGACUUCCCUGGUGGUCCAGUGGUUAAGAAUCCACCUUGCAAUGCAGGGGAUGACGGUUCGAUCCCUGGUCAGGGAGCUAAGAUCCCGCAAGCUGUGUGGCACAGACAAAUAAAUAAAUAAACUUAAGAAUCAAAGGAUAUUAUCAAGAAAAGGAAAAGACAACCAACAGAAUGGGAGAAAAUAUUUGCAAAUUAUAUAUGUGAUAGGAGUUUAAUAUCCAGAAUAAAGAACUGCUACAACUCAAACACUAAAAUACAAACAACUCAAUUUAAAAAACGGGCAAAGGGGGCUUCCCUGGUGGUGCAGUGGUUAAGAAUCCGCCUGCCAAUGCAGGGGACACGGGUUCGAGCCCUGGUCCAGGAAGAUCACACAUGCCGCGGAGCAACUAAGCCUGUGCGCCAUAACUACUGAGCCUGUGCUCUAGAGCCCGCGAGCCACAACUACUGAGCCCGCGUGUUGCAACUACUGAAGCCCGCACGCCUAAAGCCCGUGCUCCGCAACAAGAGAAGCCACUGCAAUGAGGAGCCCGCGCACCGCAACGAAGAGUAGCCCCCGCUCACUGCAACUAGAGAAAGCCUCUGCACAGCAACGAAGACCCAACACAGCCAAAAAUAAUAAAUUUAUUUUAAAAAAUGGGUAAAGGAUUUGAACAGACAUUUCUUUAAAGAUGUGCAAAUGGGCAAUAAGCCCAUGGAAAGAUGCUCAAUGUCACCAGUCAUUAGGAAAAUACAAAUCAAAACCACAAUGAAAUAACCAGUUCAUGCCCACUAGGAUGGCUAGAACCUCUUAAUAAGGAAAAUAACAACUGUUAGUAAGGAUGCGGAAAGGCUAAACAUAGAAUUACCAUAUGACCCAGCAUUCUAUUCUAGAAAUAUACCCAAAAGAAAUAAAAAACGGAGACUCAAACAGCAAUUGUGAACAGCAGUGUUCAUUGCAGCGUUAUCCACAAUAGCCAAAAGAUGGAACCAACCUAAGUUUCCAUCAUCAGAUGAAUGGAUCAACAAAAUGUCUUAUAUCAAUACAUCAGUAUUAUUCAGCCAUAAAAAGGGAUGGAGUGGUGGCACGUGCUACAACAUGAUUGCACAAUGAAAACAUUAUGCCGGACACAAAAGGACAAAUAUUGUAUGAUGUCACUUACAUGAAUCACCUCCAAGAGGCAGAUUCAUAGACACAGAGAGUAAAUUAAAGGUUACCAGGAACUGGGCAGGGGAGGGGAAAAUGAGAAGUUAACCCUUGCUUAAUGCAUACACACUUUCUGUUUGGCGUGAUGAAAAUGUUUUGGAAAUAGAUAGUGGUGAUGGUUGUACAACAUUAUAAAUGUAAUUAAUGUCACUGCAUUGUACACUUAAAAAUGGUGACGAUGGCAAAUUUUGUUAUAUAUAUUUUGCCACAAUAAAAAAAUUUUUAA